rnacentral:rRNA from 1 species
CCUACGGGAGGCAGCAGUGAGGAAUAUUUGUCAAUGGACGAGAGUCUGAACCAGCCAAGUAGCGUGAAGGAUGACUGCCCUAUGGGUUGUAAACUUCUUUUAUAUGGGAAUAAAAUGUUCCACGUGUGGGAUUUUGUAUGUACCAUAUGAAUAAGGUUCGGCUAACUCCGUGCCAGCAGCCGCGGUAAUACGGAGGCUCCGAGCGUUAUCCGGAUUUAUUGGGUUUAAAGGGAGCGUAGGUGGAUUGUUAAGUCAGUUGUGAAAGUUUGCGGCUCAACCGUAAAAUUGCAGUUGAAACUGGCAGUCUUGAGUACAGUAGAGGUGGGCGGAAUUCGUGGUGUAGCGGUGAAAUGCUUAGAUAUCACGAAGAACUCCGAUUGCGAAGGCAGUUCACUGGACUGCAACUGACACUGAGGCUCGAAAGUGUGGGUAUCAAACAGGAUUAGAUACCCUGGUAGUC